rnacentral:rRNA from 1 species
UACGAAGGGGGCUAGCGUUGCUCGGAAUCACUGGGCGUAAAGCGCACGUAGGCGGACUCUUAAGUCGGUGGUGAAAUCCUGGAGCUCAACUCCAGAACUGCCUUCGAUACUGGGAGUCUCGAGUUCGGGAGAGGUGAGUGGAACUGCGAGUGUAGAGGUGAAAUUCGUAGAUAUUCGCAAGAACACCAGUGGCGAAGGCGGCGACCUGGGUAGAUACUGACGCUGAGGUGCGAAAGCGUGGGGAGCAAACAGG